AUACGUAGGUGGCAAGCGUUAUCCGGAAUUAUUGGGCGUAAAGAGUGAGCAGGCGGUUAAUUAAGUCUGAGGUUAAAGCGUGGGGCUCAACCCCAUAAAGCCUUGGAAACUGAUUGACUAGAGUACGGGAGAAGUGAAGGGAACUCCAUGUGUAGCGGUGAAAUGCGUAGAUAUAUGGAAGAACACCAGUGGCGAAGGCGCUUCACUAGCCCGAAACUGACGCUCAGUCACAAAAGCGUGGGUAGCAAAUAGGAUUAGAUACCCUAGUAGUCCACGCUGUAAACGAUGACAACUAAAUAUUGCCGCGAGGCAGUGUUGAAGCUAACGCAUUAAGUUGUCCGCCUGGGGAGUACGGUCGCAAGACUGAAACUUAAAGGAAUUGACGGGG
rnacentral:rRNA from 1 species